rnacentral:tRNA from 1 species
GCGGUAGUAACUCAGUGGUAGAGCGUCAGCUUCCCAAGCUGAAAGUCGCGGGUUCGAUCCCCGUCUACCGCU